UAAUACGUAGGGGGCUAGCGUUAUCCGGAAUUACUGGGCGUAAAGGGUGCGUAGGUGGUUUCUUAAGUCAGAGGUGAAAGGCUACGGCUCAACCGUAGUAAGCCUUUGAAACUGAGAAACUUGAGUGCAGGAGAGGAGAGUAGAAUUCCUAGUGUAGCGGUGAAAUGCGUAGAUAUUAGGAGGAAUACCAGUUGCGAAGGCGGCUCUCUGGACUGUAACUGACACUGAGGCACGAAAGCGUGGGGAGCAAACAGG
rnacentral:rRNA from 1 species